CCGCAAACGAAAAUGACUAUUUAUUCACUUAAUGUGAAAAAAACAAACAAAAGUGGAGAAGCACUUAAAGAAGGAAGACAAAAGGCCAACAGCACCACUGACUCCCCGUAGGCCUGCACGUCUAAGCGUCUGUUCCUCCACUCACUGAGAAAUAGUCCUAUAUCCAAAACAGGUGUGUGGGAGGGGCCGACCCAGCAGUUCCUGUUUAUAUAGGGUCAUGAUCUCAUUGGCUGCAUCACUGGUCCGACCUGAGGAAACUUCUUGCAAUAAAUACUUGUG